AUGAACGCUGGCGGCGUGCCUAAUACAUGCAAGUCGAGCGAACAGACGAGGAGCUUGCUCCUCUGACGUUAGCGGCGGACGGGUGAGUAACACGUGGAUAACCUACCUAUAAGACUGGGAUAACUUCGGGAAACCGGAGCUAAUACCGGAUAAUAUAUUGAACCGCAUGGUUCAAUAGUGAAAGACGGUUUUGCCGUCACUUAUAGAUGGAUCCGCGCCGCAUUAGCUAGUUGGUAAGGUAACGGCUUACCAAGGCAACGAUGCGUAGCCGACCUGAGAGGGUGAUCGGCCACACUGGAACUGAGACACGGUCCAGACUCCUACGGGAGGCAGCAGUAGGGAAUCUUCCGCAAUGGGCGAAAGCUUGACGGAGCAACGCCGCGUGAGCGAUGAAGGUCUUCGGAUCGUAAAACUCUGUUAUUAGGGAAGAACAAAUGUGUAAGUAACUAUGCACGUCUUGACGGUACCUAAUCAGAAAGCCACGGCUAACUACGUG
rnacentral:rRNA from 1 species